CCUGCCCAUCAGAAGGGGAUAACACUUGGAAACAGGUGCUAAUACCGUAUAACAAUCGAAACCGCAUGGUUUUGAUUUGAAAGGCGCUUUCGGGUGUCGCUGAUGGAUGGACCCGCGGUGCAUUAGCUAGUUGGUGAGGUAACGGCUCACCAAGGCCACGAUGCAUAGCCGACCUGAGAGGGUGAUCGGCCACAUUGGGACUGAGACACGGCCCAAACUCCUACGGGAGGCAGCAGUAGGGAAUCUUCGGCAAUGGACGAAAGUCUGACCGAGCAACGCCGCGUGAGUGAAGAAGGUUUUCGGAUCGUAAAACUCUGUUGUUAGAGAAGAACAAGGAUGAGAGUAACUGUUCAUCCCUUGACGGUAUCUAACCAGAAAGCCACGGCUAACUACGUGCCAGCAGCCGCGGUAAUACGUAGGUGGCAAGCGUUGUCCGGAUUUAUUGGGCGUAAAGCGAGCGCAGGCGGUUUCUUAAGUCUGAUGUGAAAGCCCCCGGCUCAACCGGGGAGGGUCAUUGGAAACUGGGAGACUUGAGUGCAGAAGAGGAGAGUGGAAUUCCAUGUGUAGCGGUGAAAUGCGUAGAUAUAU
rnacentral:rRNA from 1 species